rnacentral:misc_RNA from 1 species
AAGUCGUAACAAGGUUUCCGUAGGUGAACCUGCGGAAGGAUCAUUAACAAAUCAUUGAGUGGAGUACGGGUGCGCAAGCGCCCGUACGACAUGAACCCGGUGUCGGGAGGGUCCUUUGGGCUCUACUGACCUGGUUGCAGUGCCCUAGGGUGCUGUAGGCCGUAUCGUACACAGUACGAUCGACCACAUAGACGCUUGAUUGUUUGACAGUACAGUUCCAUACAAAGUGACAACUUUUAACAAUGGAUCUCUUGGCUCUU